UAAGCAUAUCAAUAAGCGGAGGAAAAGAAACUAACAAGGAUUCCCCUAGUAACGGCGAGUGAAGCGGGAAGAGCUCAAAUUUGUAAUCUGGCGGUCUCUGGCCGUCCGAGUUGUAGUCUGGAGAAGUGUUUUCCGUGCCGGACCGUGUACAAGUCCCUUGGAACAGGGCGUCAUAGAGGGUGAGAAUCCCGUCUUAGACACGGACUGCCGGUGCUCUGUGAUGCGCUCUCAAAGAGUCGAGUUGUUUGGGAAUGCAGCUCAAAACGGGUGGUAAAUUCCAUCUAAAGCUAAAUAUUGGCGAAAGACCGAUAGCGAACAAGUACCGUGAGGGAAAGAUGAAAAGCACUUUGGAAAGAGAGUUAAACAGUACGUGAAAUUGUUGAAAGGGAAACGCUUGAAGUCAGUCGCGUCUCUCGGGACUCAACCUUGCUUUCAAUGCAUCGCAAGGCGCAUUUCCCGGGAUGACGGGCCAGCAUCGAUUUCAGUCGCUGGAGAAAGGUCGGGGGAAUGUGGCACCCUUUCGGGUGUGUUAUAGCCCUCGGUCGUAUGUAGCGAUGGGGAUCGAGGAUCGCAGCACGCCUGUAAUGGACGGGGUUCGCCCACGCAACGUGCUUAGGAUGCUGGCGUAAUGGCUUUAAGCGACCCGUCUUGAAACACGGACCAAGGAGUCUAACAUGCCUGCGAGUGUUUGGGUGUCAAACCCGGACGCGUAAUGAAAGUGAACUGUUGGGACCUCUGUCGUGGAGGGCACCGACGCCCGGACCAGAGCUUCUGUGACGGAUCCGAGGUAGAGCAUGUAUGUUGGGACCCGAAAGAUGGUGAACUAUGCCUGAGUAGGGUGAAGCCAGAGGAAACUCUGGUGGAGGCUCGUAGCGAUUCUGACGUGCAAAUCGAUCGUCGAACUUGGGUAUAGGGGCGAAAGAC
rnacentral:rRNA from 1 species